UCUGCCUCCCUGGUCAGUUAGACGUCACACCGUCAGCACACAGCACACAGCUCUGCAAGGGUGAGGACCACCCGUUCACUCCCAGGCCCAGGCCCCCCUCCCACCGCACAUAAGCCUCAUGGCUGGUGAAGUCUGCACCAGCAAGGCAAUGGUGAUCAGUUUCAUUUCCAGGUUUCUGCUGAGGCUAGCUCCCUGCCCUGUGGCCUGGCCCUCUGAGCACCUUACCCGGACAACCUUUGGAAUCAGAACUGGACUGGACCAAGCGCAGUGUGGACUGGAGUCCUGAUCUGUCACUUCCUUUCGAGCCAUAUCACCGAGUAACAAGUUAACAGAGAAUGUGUUUUUCAUCAGGGACUUACUAACAAAGACCUUUAAACCUGGCUAAAAAUUAACAAUGGAAAUUACAUUAUUAAACUGGAAACUUGCUGUUGACUAACACAACUCUAAAAGAGGCUUUGAAUGAGGGGGCUUUUCUAGAAUCAAGAAAGCAUGGAGAAUUAUUGCCUUCUACCUGUCUCCCUGCCGGCUUCCUCCUCACCCUGUCUCCCACCCCAUAAUGCAGAUCCACUCUUGGAUUAACUUGAGAACAUCCCGGGGACAGUGCAAUCAUCAGCCAUACUCCGGGCCUUAAAUCAACUUUGGGUGUGGGUUUCUUAAUCACUUACUUAGAAUGGGUAAAGUUCUCAACCAUUUAAAAAAAAAUUCUAUUGGUUUUUUACUUGAGAUGGUGGCAUCAGCCUCUAAAAAUGUUAAAAUACUACCGAACUGUAAUAUUUUGGAUGCAUUCAGUUGAGUAUUUAUUUUACUACCCACUUGAAAGAGUCAAAUCAGGUUACAUAUAAUGUCUCUGAAAACAUGGGACAAAGUAAUAGCUAACUAAAACUUGGUAACUUUGAACUUUGUAUAUUUAUGCAUAGGUCUGAUACUUAUUCUAACUUAACUUUUCACAUGGUAGCUAAGUCAGCCUUUUUAUGACUUAUUGAUACUGAUUUCUUACCUUUAACCUCAUAUAAAAGGUGGGUUCCACCCAUGCCUAUACUUCAAUUAAAUACAUCUGACCAU